UGCAGUCGAACGGUAGAGGAGCAAUCCUCGAGAGUGGCGAACGGGUGAGUAAUACAUCGGAACGUGCCCAGUCGUGGGGGAUAACGUAGCGAAAGCUACGCUAAUACCGCAUACGACCCGAGGGUGAAAGCGGGGGACUCGCAAGAGCCUCGCGCGAUUGGGGCGGCCGAUGGCAGAUUAGGUAGUUGGUGGGGUAAAGGCCCACCAAGCCUGCGAUCUGUAGCUGGUCUGAGAGGACGACCAGCCACACUGGGACUGAGACACGGCCCAGGCUCCUACGGGAGGCAGCAGUGGGGAAUUUUGGACAAUGGGCGAAAGCCUGAUCCAGCCAUACCGCGUGCGGGAAGAAGGCCUUCGGGUUGUAAACCGCUUUUGUCAGGGAAGAAAUACUUCGGGCUAAUACCCUGGGGUGAUGACGGUACCUGAAGAAUAAGCACCGGCUAACUACGUGCCAGCAGCCGCGGUAAUACGUAGGGUGCAAGCGUUAAUCGGAAUUACUGGGCGUAAAGCGUGCGCAGGCGGUUCUAUAAGACAGAUGUGAAAUCCCCGGGCUCAACCUGGGAACUGCAUUUGUGACUGUAGAGCUAGAGUACGGUAGAGGGGGGAUGGAAUUCCGCGUGUAGCAGUGAAAUGCGUAGAUAUGCGGAGGAACACCGAUGGCGAAGGCAAUCCCCUGGACCUGUACUGACGCUCAUGCACGAAAGCGUGGGGAGCAAACAGGAUUAGAUACCCUGGUAGUCCACGCCCUAAACGAUGUCA
rnacentral:rRNA from 1 species